CUCCGGUGAUCCCUGCCGGACCCGACUGCUAUCAGAGUGGGACUAAGCCAUGCGAGUCAACAUAGCAAUAUGUGGCAUACGGCUCAGUAACACGUAGUCAACAUGCCCAGGGGACGUGGAUAACCUCGGGAAACUGAGGAUAAACCGCGAUAGGUCAUCACUUCUGGAAUGGGUAGUGACUUAAAUCUAUAUGGCCCCUGGAUUGGACUGCGGCCGAUCAGGCUGUUGGUGAGGUAAUGGCCCACCAAACCUGUAACCGGUACGGGCUCUGAGAGGAGGAGCCCGGAGAUGGGCACUGAGACAAGGGCCCAGGCCCUAUGGGGCGCAGCAGGCGCGAAACCUCUGCAAUAGGCGAAAGCUUGACAGGGUUACUCUGAGUGAUUUCCGUUAAGGAGAUCUUUUGGCACCUCUAAAAAUGGUGCAGAAUAAGGGGUGGGCAAGUCUGGCGUCAGCCGCCGCGGUAAUACCAGCACCCCGAGUGGUCGGGACGUUUAUUGGGCCUAAAGCAUCCGUAGCCGGUUCUACAAGUCUUCCGUUAAAUCCACCUGCUUAACAGAUGGGCUGCGGAAGAUACUAUAGAGCUAGGAGGCGGGAGAGGCAAGCGGUACUCGAUGGGUAGGGGUAAAAUCCGUUGAUCCAUCGAAGACCACCAGUGGCGAAGGCGGCUUGCCAGAACGCGCUCGACGGUGAGGGAUGAAAGCUGGGGGAGCAAACCGGAUUAGAUACCCGGGUAGUCCCAGCUGUAAACGAUGCAGACUCGGUGAUGAGUUGGCUUAUUGCUAACUCAGUGCCGCAGGGAAGCCGUUAAGUUUGCCGCCUGGGGAGUACGGUCGCAAGACUGAAACUUAAAGGAAUGGCGGGGGAGCA
rnacentral:rRNA from 1 species